UACGGAGGGUGCAAGCGUUGUCCGGAAUCACUGGGCGUAAAGGGCGCGUAGGCGGUCCCCUAAGUGUGUGGUGAAAGCUCGGGGCUCAACCCCGAGUCGGCCGUGCAAACUGGGGACUCGAGCAUGUCAGAGGCAGGCGGAAUUCCGGGUGUAGCGGUGGAAUGCGUAGAGAUCCGGAAGAACACCGGUGGCGAAGGCGGCCUGCUGGGACAUGGCUGACGCUGAGGCGCGACAGCGUGGGGA
rnacentral:rRNA from 1 species